GAAGGGGGCUAGCGUUGUUCGGAAUUACUGGGCGUAAAGCGCGUGUAGGCGGUUGCCAUAGUCAGGUGUGAAAGCCUUGAGCUUAACUCAAGAAAUGCACUUGAUACUGGGCGACUAGAGGACCGGAGAGGAUAGUGGAAUUCCCAGUGUAGUGGUGAAAUACGUAGAGAUUGGGAAGAACACCAGUGGCGAAGGCGGCUAUCUGGACGGUUUCUGACGCUAAGACGCGAAAGCGUGGGGAGCAAACAGGAUUAGAUACCCUGGUAGUCCACGCCGUAAACGAUGGGUGCUAGACGUUGGCGAGCUUGCUCGUCAGUGUCGCAGCUAACGCGUUAAGCACCCCGCCUGGGGAGUACGGCCGCAAGGUUG
rnacentral:rRNA from 1 species